rnacentral:rRNA from 1 species
GACGAACGCUGGCGGCGGGCUUAACACAUGCAAGUCGAACGGAAAGGCUCUGCUUUUGUGGGUUUCUCGAGUGGCGAACGGGUGCGCAACACAUUAGCAACCUUCCCUCGACUUUGAUAUAACUGCAUGAAACUGGGGCUAAUACCGGAUUGGAGCUCCUGCUGCAUGUUGGGCGUUGGAAUGUUUGCGCGGUUGGGGAUGUACUAGCGGCUUAUCAGACUGUUGGUGGGGUAGUCGCUUACCAAGGCUUCGACGGGUAGCCGGCCUGAGAGUGUGACCGGGAACAUUGGGAAUGAGAUACGGCCCAGAGUAGUACGGGAGGCAGCAGUAGGGAAGGAUGCACAAUGGGCGGAAGCAUGAUGCAGCAAGGCCGCGUGCGGGAUGACGGACUGCGGGUUGUAAACAGCUUAAGCCUGUGACGAAGCGUGAGUGACGGUAAUAGGUAAAGAAGCACCGGCUAACUACGUG